rnacentral:rRNA from 1 species
UGGGGAAUCUUGCACAAUGGACGAAAGUCUGAUGCAGCAACGCCGCGUGGGGGAUGAAGCUUUUCGGAGUGUAAACCCCUUUCGACCCGGAAGAAUGCCCGCAAGGGUUUGACGGUACGGGUAUAAGAAGCCCCGGCUAACUACGUGCCAGCAGCCGCGGUAAUACGUAGGGGGCCAGCGUUGCUCGGAAUUACUGGGCGUAAAGGGUCCGUAGGCGGUGUGGCAAGUCGGGAGUGAAAUCUCUGGGCUUAACCCAGAGGCUGCUUCCGAAAUUGCCAUGCUAGAGUGUGAGAGAGGCGAGUGGAAUUACGGGUGUAGCGGUGAAAUGCGUAGAUAUCCGUAGGAACAUCCGAGGCGAAGGCGGCUCGCUGGAUCACAACUGACGCUGAGGGACGAAAGCUAGGGGAGCAAACAGGAUUAGAUACCCUGGUAGUCCUAGCCUUAAACCAUCGGGACUUGGGGUGUGCCCUGUACGGGGCACGUCCCGUAGCUAACGCGUUAAGUCCUGCGCCUGGGGAGUACGGUCGCAAGGCUG